UCAAUUGAGAGUUUGAUCCUAGCUCAGGAUGAACGCUGGCGGCGGGGAUAAGGCAUGCAAGUCGAAUGCUUCCUUAGGGAAGCAUGGCAGACGAGGUAGUAACACGUAGGAACGUACCCUCUUCUCGGGGAUAACCCGGGGAAACCCGGAAUAAUACUCGAUAGUCUCUUAGGAGUAAAGAUUUAUCGGAAGAGGAGCGGCCUGCGCAAUAUCAGCUUGUUGGUAAGGUAAUGGCUUACCAAGGCUAUGACGUUUAGGGGGGGUGAGAGCCCGUUCCCCACCGAUGGUACUGAGAACGGACCAUACUCCUACGGGAGGCCGCAGUCGAGAAUCUUCCGCAAUGGACGAAAGUCUGACGGAGCGACGCCGCGUGGUGGAUGAAGGCCUUAGGGUUGUAAACACCUUUUAUGAGGGAGAAAUCCGGUUUAUCCGGUGUGAUGGUACCUCAUGAAUAAGGGGUUGCUAAACUCGUAAACACGAGUAUGUAGCAAUACUUAAACAGCAUUAAAAACUCGUAUUAUCUGGUGCGACUCUAUGUAGCAAUAUAUAGAUGCAUAUUCGGCUCAUAUGCUGGAAACCUUUGAAGAGCUGCGUCCAUUACAUGGAUUCUUCAAAGAUGAUCAGCAGGGAAGUCUUCGUGACCCCUCAGAGACUGAUCCCGAAAGGGUGAGAUAGGAGGCAUGUGCCUCCUAUAAAACGCCGAACACCCCCACAUGGGUGAUGGUAUAGUCCAUAUAUAGUUAGUGGCCAGCAGCAGCGGUAAUACGAGUGCCUCAAGCGUUAUCCGGAAUCAUUGGGCGUAAAGGGUGUGUAGGCGGUGUUGUUAGUCUCCUGUUAAAAACCCGGGCUUAACCCGGGCGAUGCGGGGGAAACGGCAACACUAGAAGGUGCGAGAGGUGAGUGGAACUCAUGGUGUAGGGGUGAAAUCCGUUAAUAUCAUGGGGAACACCAAAGGCGAAGGCAACUCACUGGUGCAUUCUUGACGCUGAGACACGAAAGCGUGGGGAGAGAAUGGGAUUAGAUACCCCAGUAUUCCACGCCCUAAACGAUGUUCUCUCGCUUUUUGGAGUAUCGACCCUCUGAGAGGCUAAGCUAACGCGGUAAGAGAACCGCCUGGGAAUUACGAUCGCAAGAUUAAAACUCAAAGGAAUAGACGGGGGCUCGCACAAGCGGUGGAUCAUGUGGUUUAAUUCGCUGUUAAACGAAGAACCUCACCAGGGCUAGAAAUCGAGACGACGAGUUUGGGAAACCAUUCUCUCCUUAUUAAGGCGGCUCGACAGGUGUUGCAUGGCUGUCGUCAGUUCGUGGUUUGAAUUGUUCCCUUAAGUGGGGUAACGAACGCAACCCUUGCCGUAUGUUUUACGUGUCAUACGGGACUACCCAGCUUGCCUGGGAGGAAGUGAGGAUGACGCCAAGUCAGCAUGACCCUAGAUGCCCUGGGCUACACACAUGAUACAAUGGGUGGUACAGAGAGACGCAAUGGGGCGACCCGGAGCAAACCUCAAAAGCCAUCCCCAGUUCGGAUUGGAGGCUGCAACUCGACUCCAUGAAGUUGGAAUCGCUAGUAAUCGCAGGUCAGCUAUACUGCGGUGAAUACGUUCCCGAGCCUUGUACUCAAAAUGAAAUGCGCCCGGCAGGCGCUUUAUCUAGGUGGUUAAAAUCCAUC
rnacentral:rRNA from 1 species